rnacentral:rRNA from 1 species
CCUACGGGUGGCAGCAGUGGGGGAUAUUGCACAAUGGGGGAAACCCUGAUGCAGCGACGCCGCGUGAGUGAAGAAGUAUUUCGGUAUGUAAAGCUCUAUCAGCAGGGAAGAAAAAAGACGGUACCUGACUAAGAAGCCCCGGCUAACUACGUGCCAGCAGCCGCGGUAAUACGUAGGGGGCAAGCGUUAUCCGGAUUUAUUGGGUGUAAAGGGAGCGUAGACGGCAAUACAAGUCGGAAGUGAAAUACCCGGGCUCAACCUGAGAACUGCUUUGGAAACUGUAUGGCUAGAGUGCUGGAGAGGUAAGCGGAAUUCGUAGUGUAGCGGUGAAAUGCGUAGAUAUUACGAAGAACACCGGUUGCGAAGGCAGCUUACUAAACAGCAACUGACAUUGAGGCUCGAAAGCGUGGGUAUCAAACAGGAUUAGAUACCCUAGUAGUC